CCUACGGGUGGCAGCAGUAGGGAAUCUUCCACAAUGGACGCAAGUCUGAUGGAGCAACGCCGCGUGAGUGAAGAAGGUUUUCGGAUCGUAAAGCUCUGUUGUUGGUGAAGAAGGAUAGAGGUAGUAACUGGCCUUUAUUUGACGGUAAUCAACCAGAAAGUCACGGCUAACUACGUGCCAGCAGCCGCGGUAAUACGUAGGUGGCAAGCGUUGUCCGGAUUUAUUGGGCGUAAAGCGAGCGCAGGCGGAAGAAUAAGUCUGAUGUGAAAGCCCUCGGCUUAACCGAGGAACUGCAUCGGAAACUGUUUUUCUUGAGUGCAGAAGAGGAGAGUGGAACUCCAUGUGUAGCGGUGGAAUGCGUAGAUAUAUGGAAGAACACCAGUGGCGAAGGCGGCUCUCUGGUCUGCAACUGACGCUGAGGCUCGAAAGCAUGGGUAGCGAACAGGAUUAGAUACCCCUGUAGUC
rnacentral:rRNA from 1 species